ensembl:lncRNA
AAAAAAUAUAUUCAAGAUUGUGGAGUCAUACUCCAUGAGAAUUUACCAGUAUUGUUACUGUUAACUAAAACUUUAUUUUUCUUUUUCUGAAAUAAAAUAAAAUGUAAAUAAAAAAAUAAAGGAAAAUUAAAAAUGUUGCCUUGGCAACUAACUGAAAUAUAAUAAUUAGCUAAAAGCUAAUUCAAAAUAUUAACACAUACUAGUAUAUAAGGAAUCUGGAACUAACCUUCAUUAAAUCAAAUGAAGUCAAAUUACCUGCUAUUUAAACCACUUGACAGUCAAUAAGAGACUAACAAAACUAUGAAAGAUUAUGCCAUAAUAAAUCAUGUCAAAAAACAAGCAUCACAUCAAUGAUUCAGAUAUUUUCAGCACUAUCUAUGGUAUUUGAUAAUGUCAAGUACUAAAGACCCUCACACCAUCCAAGGUAGACCACAUCAACCGAACCGCUCUACCAAUUAUCAGCUCGUCUCUUGAAUGUCACCGUCUAACCCCUGGCUUGUCUGUCAGGGCCAUUAUUCCCACAGAGGCCCAGGUCCGAUCAGACCACAGUUAUCUCCCAUCACACAUACUCUGAGCCCUGGAGGCCCACUUACGCAGGGCAUGAUGUGUGGGCCCGGGGGAAGACUCCAUCUCUGACACAGAGAGACUCUCUAAUUGCCUAACUGGAUUUAGCCUCUGGUGUGAAAUAUCUCCAGAGGGGAAAUGGAAAACAAUACAGACAUAAAGAGAGAUGGAGAGACAAAUAAGCAAGAGAUACACAGCAGACACGAUGGCGGUAAUGGAGAUGACCCCAAUAUGGCCAGAGAGGACAACGAACACAUCGCAUCGACCCUCUAACUGCCACAACCAAACACAUUACCUGCUGGUUGAAGCCUCAGCGCUGCACGUCUAUCUGUGUGCUGACUGCCUGUAAUGGAAUCCAGAAUCCCACAUGGCAAAAUUCAUUGCAUCCAAAGCUAUGAACCCAGGGUUCAAAAACUAACCAAACACCAAUUGUGAGUAAAUAAUAUUGGCAUCUGAAGAGUGAAUAAAAGGAGCUGGCCUGGAACUUUAUUAAGCUGGAAAAUAAUACAUGGUUUAGGUUCAAUUGUGGGUCUGAUUACUGUUAUGCAAUACUCUGUGAGGCAGUAUUUCUAUAAAAGGCUUUACCAGACUUUAAAAAAAUUGUUUGAUUAUUUAUACAAUUAAGACUAAAAGGGUAUACAGUGCCAAAAUUAGCCAAAACUAAUCAUGAUUUGCUAAUAGGCUACUUACUGAUGUUUGUUCUGUUGUUUUCCCGCUAAAAAUGAUUUCACUUUGGCUAAGUUACACAAAUGAAAUAAAGUUUUAGAAGACUAACUAAAUGGAGGAUACAGGCAAUGCCUAUGAAUGAAUAACCUAUUAAAACAAUAUUCCCAAAAUACUCUUCUAUGGUUAAUUAAUUUUGAUCAUUCAAAAAGAAAUGCAGAAAACAUGUUUGACUCGACAUUAAGCUAUUUGCCGUAUUUUGUUUUGAGCGUCAUCAUUCACUAAUUUCAGUUUUGUCUGAGCUCAAGUCCAACCCAAUACGAUUCAUUAGAUUUCCGUGGAAAGGCUACAUUUCCAAACUUAAAACUAAACUUCAUCACGAGACAAAACAGCGAGUUUGCCCGCAAUACAGAACGUAUACAAAAAAACAAAGCCUAUAUAUUCAGUACCUUUUUCCUAAGUAGUAACCAUAGGCAUAGACAUAUAAAUACUAAUAUUUAUAUGUCUAUGACCAUAGGUAGUAACUGACGAGCACCGCCAUGAAGGAUUCAAACUUCCGUUAGGAUGCUGUGGUGUUCCGGUGUUCUUCUUUUGGAGUUUUAUGGCGGUUGGCAUACAAACGGUAGGUGCAUUCCCGCCACCUACUGGACUGGAGUGUGGACCAUUGAUGGAAUAGGAAGAGCUAAAUCAAAUAAAAAAUAAAAUAAAAACCUUCUAAAUCCUGUUAAACAGAUCUACUUUUUUUAAAAUAUGUCAUUAAACAUUAUGUAUUUUAAAAUGAUUCAAGCCAUUAUUCAACAGAGUUUUAAGUGUAAUUUUUUCUAUUCCUAUUUCUUUUAAUUCUUCCAACAGAAAUGCUCUUUCAUUAUCAUAAGCAGAACAAUGUAAUAUUGCAUGCUCUACUGUGUCUGGUAAUCCACACAGACUACGGUUCCCAGACUCAUGCUUAUUAAUUUUAAUAAGCAUG